rnacentral:rRNA from 1 species
GACGAACGCUGGCGGCGUGCCUAAUACAUGCAAGUAGGACGCAGUUGCGAACGGGCGCGUAACGCGUAGGUAACUACCUAUUAGAGGGGGAUAACUAUUGGAAACGAUAGCUAAUACCGCAUACUCGUAGAUGGACCUGCUUUGUAUUAUCUAGUAGGUAGGGUAAUGGCCUACCUAGGCAACGAUCCAUAGCCGAGCUGAGAGGGUGAUCGGCAACACUGGGACGUGGAACAGGCCCAGACUCCUACGGGAGGAAGCAGUAGGGAAUCUUCGGAAAUUGGGGGAAGCCUGACCGAGCAAAGACGCGUGAGUGAAGAAGGUUUGCUGAUAGGAAAGCUCUGUUGUUAAGGAAGCGGUACUUAACCAGAAAGGGACGGCUAACUACGUGCCAGCCGCCGCGGUAAUAC